UACAGAGGGUGCAAGCGUUAAUCGGAUUUACUGGGCGUAAAGCGUGCGUAGGCGGCUUUUUAAGUCGGAUGUGAAAUCCCUGAGCUUAACUUAGGAAUUGCAUUCGAUACUGGGAAGCUAGAGUAUGGGAGAGGAUGGUAGAAUUCCAGGUGUAGCGGUGAAAUGCGUAGAGAUCUGGAGGAAUACCGAUGGCGAAGGUAGCCAUCUGGCCUAAUACUGACGCUGAGGUACGAAAGCAUGGGGAGCAAACAGG
rnacentral:rRNA from 1 species